rnacentral:pre_miRNA from 1 species
AGAGCUUAGCUGAUUGGUGAACAGUGAUUGAUUUCCCCUUUGUUCACAGUGGCUAAGUUCUGC